rnacentral:rRNA from 1 species
UACGAAGGGAGCAAGCGUUGUUCGGAUUUACUGGGCGUAAAGGGUGUGUAGGCGGUUAUACAAGUUGGAUGUGAAAGCCCUGGGCUUAACUCAGGAAUAGCAUUCAAGACUGUAUGACUAGAGUAUGGAAGAGGUUGGUGGAAUUCCUAGUGUAGAGGUGAAAUUCGUAGAUAUUAGGAAGAACACCCGUGGCGAAGGCGGCCAACUGGUCCAUAACUGACGCUGAGACACGAAAGCGUGGGGAGCGAACAGG